GAUGAACGCUAGCGGCAGGCUUAACACAUGCAAGUCGAGGGGCAGCGCGGGAUAGCAAUAUCCUGGCGGCGACCGGCGGAAGGGUGCGUAACGCGUGAGCGACAUGCCCGUUGCCCGGGGACAACCGGUGGAAACGCCGACUAAUCCCCGAUGGGAUAUUGUGCCGCAUGGCACGAUAUUGAAAGUUACGGCGGCGACGGAUUGGCUCGCGUCCGAUUAGCUUGUUGGCGGGGUAACGGCCCACCAAGGCUGCGAUCGGUAGGGGUUCUGAGAGGAAGGCCCCCCACAAUGGGACUGAGACACGGCCCAUACUCCUACGGGAGGCAGCAGUGAGGAAUAUUGGUCAAGGGGCGGAAGCCUGAACCAGCCAUGCCGCGUGCGGGAAGGAGGCCCUAUGGGCUGUGAACCGCUUUUGCCUGGGGGCAAUAAGGGCGUCGCGCACGUCCGAUGAGAGUGCCAGGCGAAUAAGCAUCGGCUAACUCCGUG
rnacentral:rRNA from 1 species